UCCCUAAAGACAUCAGAAAAUUGCUUUUAAUGUUACACUUUUAUUAUCUCUUAUUUCUCUCCUCUCUCUUUUGUAUUUAGUAUGGGCAAAAAUGA